CCAACAUUUCUUUGUCUUCCUUGCAAAUCGAUUUGGGGAUAUUAUUAGUUUAGGGUUCAUCGAAUUUCAAUUGGAGAUACUUUGCUUUGGGUUUGAGAGGGACAAAGAGUGAAUCAAAAGUCGAUCGAAAAGAGGAAUAAGGGUUGGAGAUUUUUUUUAGUUUAGGGUUCGACAUCAAGUGUCGGAUUUGAGAGAGCGAGGGGAGUGAUUGCAGAGCUCAAUGAGGAGCUGCAAAAAUGUUGGAGUUAUACCUCCAAAGAAAGGCAAAGGGAAGACCACGGAAGAUGGAUGUGAAGGACCAAGUCAACCAACUCAAAGCCAAGUCAUUGACUAACAUGUCAGGGAAUGAAGGAUUAAUGGUGUUUUAGUUUAUGAAAUCUGGGAUUUUGAUUUAUUUUUGGAUGUAAAACUCAGAUUAUGAUGUAAUUUUGGAUUCUAUUUGAUUAUGCAUUUUGGAAUCAAUAUGAUGUUUUGUUAGAGAUUAUA